AAAUCAUAGCCGCUAACCCAAGGCAUGCCGAAGUGGGAACCAGCUCUGGUGCGGAGAACUCAGGCCUUCAGAGAUAAGGAGGAAUGCCUUUCUGCCAUCAGCAGGGCCACGCCCUCACAGAUGUACCUCUGCAGGAAUCUGAAGCAGAGGAGCUGGAUUGGGAUAGCUUUGGUACAACCCUGGACCACGGUGGGACAGCUACAUCAGCAUUGAGUGCAAGGAGGCUUUUGGAGGAGGAGCUGGAGAACCAGGAACCAGUGAAGACACUGCAGCAAAAGUCAAGCCAGACUGCAAUGGAAGACCUGAGGCAUGAACAAGACAAGAAAGAGCUUCUAGUUCACCCUGAAAAUGAGAGGAACAUCAAGGGUUGGAGGAGAGUGGAUGGGGCAAACCUCGGCCAGGUGGAGAGGGUGAGGGCCAGCCUGGAGGAUGCCAUCAAGAGGAGGGAUGCGGAGAUCAGCACAGCCGGCAUGCAGCUGGAGGCCAAGCAGGAGCAGAAUGCCGGCCUGCAGAGGAUGGUCGAGAAGCUGGAGGUG
rnacentral:lncRNA from 1 species